UACAGAGGGUGCGAGCGUUGUUCGGAAUUAUUGGGCGUAAAGGGCGCGUAGGCGGUGCGGUAAGUCACCUGUGAAAUCUCCUGGCUCAACUGGGAGCUUGCAGGCGAAACUGCCGUGCUGGAGUGUGGGAGAGGUGCGUGGAAUUCCUGGUGUAGCGGUGAAAUGCGUAGAUAUCAAGAGGAACACCUGUGGCGAAAGCGGCGCACUGGACCACAACUGACGCUGAGGCGCGAAAGCUAGGGGAGCAAACAGG
rnacentral:rRNA from 1 species